AUUCAUGAUCAUAGCCAUGGCUGUUGAUCUUCCUUCUCUAUCCUUCCAGGACCUGAAU
rnacentral:snoRNA from 1 species